ensembl:lncRNA
AUGCUUCACUUGAAUCUUGCCCAUUUUGCAAACCUGUGUGGACGCCUUUGGAUGUGUGGUCCAGAGGACUUGCCCGCAGAGCAAACCAAGACAUUACAAUACUAUUUGCUUUUCAUGUCAAGAGAAAAGAAGGCAGAAGAACUGGCAGCUUGAUCCUUGCCUUUUUACAAAAGACCAACUUUUAGAUUUUGACCUCUUCUAGCAGUGGAUUCAACUACUCUAAUAGCAGAUACUUAAUAGGUCGUGUUUGAAUUUGAGCUUGAUUAUAACUCUCAUUCAAAGAUCUAGUGAGAAUACCAGGUACUCUCACUACUUUUUUUGUAAACACUUUGUUGUGGACAUCUAGUAGACUUCCUGCAUUUGUUCAUUUUGGUGAGGUACAAUUGCAAAAAGAAGGUGUAGGCUUUGCUAUUGGCAUUACUUUAAAUCUUAGGAGCCUGGAGAAAAUAGGAAAUUAAAAUAUUGUGUCCAAAAACUUGUGUCCUUCUUAAAGUAUUUUUCAUCCAUGCACUUCUACCUCUGGAUAAUAAGCCAAAUACUGUUCACAAUUGACAGUGCUAUCUGAAUAGAGCUCUGAAUUUCCUUUGUUUAUUGACUGCCCCAUUUUCAGUUAGUUUGAUUUCACAUCCAAAGUGUUGGUCUUUGACCUUGAACGAUUUUCUCCAAAACAGUGUGUGUGUAUGUGUGUUUGUGUGUGUAUAUGAAAUUAAUUAGAGGAAUUUAUUCCAUGUACGUAUGGAUGGAUCAGGAAAAUAAGGGAAAUAGUGAACAGUUAUCUAAGUGGUUCUUUUUGAGCCCUCAAAGUAUUUUAGUGUCAGUUUAAACUUAAAAUAUGGGUCUUCCAACAUUGGUAACUUGCAGUUUGUAAGUAUAUAAAUUAAUUAUGCAGGACAUGAGAAUCUUUCAAUGUAUUUAAUUUCAAGGACAUAAAAAAGUGACUUUCUAAUAUUAAAGUUAAUUGAACUUGUGUAAUUCACGCUACUAGGACUAUUAAGAAAUACCUCUGUCAGAGUAGAGCUGGAGAUGAUGGGGAUGGGGCAUUGGCUCUAAGAAAUAAAGGAAGUUAACAUUUGAAGGACUGCAAGAAGCUGUUCUUUGUUAAAUAGUCUCAAAGAAAGAGUGGCUAUUCUUAGAGUAUGAUCUUGAGUAUGUAGCAGCUGAGAUUUUCUUUGUAAAAUUAUGCUCUAGACACUGAAUAGUUUAUUUUAAUUAUCUUGUUUGUGAUUUCUUGGUGUACCUGAAAGCUUUCAUGUGCAUGUAUCCUCUAUGACUUCUGUAAAUGCACUGUGUACAAGCAAAACCCAUUUUAUGUUGGAUACACGUAAAUAAAAAAGUUAUCAGUACUCUGUUUGCCUUUGUGAUCUAGACAGCAUAAAUUUUAAAUUUUAAGCAGUUCUACAACCUGUCCCAAAC